AGCACAGGCAGAGCAUCGGAUGCUCUGCCUCACUGCCAGGCUCCAAUCCUGGGGGAGCGAUCACUCGGAAGCCUGGUAGUCAAGGGGGGUAUUGCACAAUGCCUCGACAUUGAGGAAUCGCUGCAAUACCGCUAGAGCGGUAAUUAGCUUAAGGAUUGUUUUUCUUUGGACUUACCUGAUAUGCACAUUUUCAAUCUGAUCUAGAAACACAAAUUUCAAAUACACAGAAAUUUCUUUCCCCAAAAGAGAUAUAUUAUUCAAAAUGUUGACUCAGAUACUUUUCUUACCUAUACAAAAUAUAAACAUAAUAUAGACUAUAAUUACCACAAAGUUCCUGGUCUUCCGUCCCUUUUUAUUGGAUAAGGAAUCCAGUUUUUAUAGAAAAGUUAAAUGAAAAAUAUCUAGAUAACUUUGAUUGUUAUGAGAAUAUUGAGUAAGAAUAAUACAGUUUAAUAGGUGAAAUAAAUUAAUACAUCUAUUCUCUAUACCAUUAUAUUGGUUUCUUUAUCUCAUUUAACUCUCACCUAUAGAUUUAACAUUCUCCAACCAGAUUUGGUGGGUGUCUAAUAUGAUAAUUAAGAAUCUGCCAUUGAUUAAUUACAUUACACUAAAUUUUACCAAAGUUCCAAUACCAGUUGUGGCUCUUGUCUUAUGAAUGAUUUUAAUUUAUUUCCAUUUC